UGUUAGACAGCAUUGAAAGUCAGUUUCUUGAGGGGUUCGGGUUAGUUCAGAACUGAGUUAGAUGACGUUAGAAGGUUGGUUUUCGGUUGGAUUGUAGCCAUAGAAUCCCACUUAAGAAGCACCAUAGAAUGUUCAUAGCAAUCAUCUUUCUAUCCGAAUCUAAUUAUACAUCUGUCUAGAUCUCUGUUUCUUACAGUAUAGUCCUUUUUCUUCUAACUUACAGAGAUUCCUUUUCAGAUAGCAAGGUUGAGGCUUAGCUGGGAGAUGAUGUAUUUCAGGGUUGUUCUGCAACAGUUCAUUUGUAUAUGCUUCACUGUAGGUCGCUGCAGACCUGGAAUCAUACAGAAAGAUGACACACAUGUACCCUUUGGUCAGUGAACUUAACGGGGUGUUUAGAUCUUUAGUCCGGAUUAAAAUUCAUGUCACAUCGAAUAUUCGGAGGCUAAUUAGGAAGACUAAACAUGAGCUAAUUAUAAAACUAAUUACAAAGAUGGAGGCUAAUUCACGAGACGAACCUGUUAAGCCUAAUU
rnacentral:lncRNA from 1 species